GUUAUUGCAUCCCAGAGUCUGAGCUUGAAUAAAUGCUACGAAAGCCUCCAGCGUGUUUGUUGCAUGCUGCUCUCCCAUCAAGGCAUAAUCGUUGUAUAAUAAGGGAUAGUGUGACAUUUCUUAUCAUAUUGCAGCAUGAAGACUGUAUUUUGUGCUUAUUGUGGAUUUCAGGGGUAUAACAUUUAUAUUUGUGAUACACAACAUGCGUGGUUGUUCAAUGUUGCCCAUGAAAUCAAAAUCCUACCACUUCUCUUUCAAGAUUUUCUGGACCAAAGUGUAUCCUGGGACUCCAAUGCAAGUUGUCAUGCAAAACUGUCACCAUUUGAAGCUACUUAGCUGAGUGAAAACAUCACUGGUAGGGCAAAUCCCAAGCAAAAAUUCACAAGUAAAUUGAAUGUGCCAGCUGUUGGAGGGCUGCAUCUGGCUUCUGUAAACCCCUGAUUUCAAAAGGGGGUUCAGCUAAAACUCUUCAUUGUUCUUUGUGAUUGAGAUGCUCUUUUGUACAAAUAUGAACUCAUAAAAUAAAUGUAUGCUAAUGAAA
rnacentral:lncRNA from 1 species